AUCUGAAAUCAGGCGGGAUUACCCGCUGAACUUAAGCAUAUCAAUAAGCGGAGGAAAAGAAAAUAACAAUGAUUCCCCUAGUAACGGCGAGUGAACAGGGAAAAGCUCAAAGUUGGAAUCUCCCAGUCCUAGAUUGGGCGAAUUGUAAACUAAAGCUCUCGAGUAGUUCGGCUAGCCUGGUAAACAAGUUCUCUGGAAAGGGACGACAAAGAGGGUGAAAUCCCCGUUUUUGGCCGGAGCAUAGUCUUGCGUUUGCUNGGAAGCGAAGAGUCAGGUUNUNUGGUAUNGCANCNNANAGUUGGAGGUAAAUCUCUCCUAAAGCUAAAUAUUGACGAAAGACCGAUAGCGANCAAGUACCGUGAGGGAAAGAUGAAAAGCACCUUGAAAAGGGGGUCAAAAAGUACGUGAAAUUGNUGAAAGGGAACCGUANGAAAUCAGCCUGUGUCNUUAGUAAUCAAUCUGGGCCUCGGCCUGGANGCACUUNNUANUGACUCAGCNUGCGACAGUUUGAUNNGGGGGAAAAAAUCAAGGAGAAUGUGGCCUCGACUUUCGGUGGAGGUGUUAUAGCUCUUUGAAAAAUACUCUGGAUUGGACUGAGGAC
rnacentral:rRNA from 1 species